rnacentral:piRNA from 1 species
UGACAGCUUUAGAUGGAAGAAAGACUCAUGU